GCAGAUUAUUUGUUUCCAAGACAGCAUAAAUCACCAAGUGUCACUGAGAAAGUGAGGAGGAAAACAGAGGGGAGCACCAGGGAGAGCACUGCAAGAGAUCUUCCAAAGCAUGCAAAGCUUUCUAUGAAUUGUGAAAUUAAGAUGACAGUGUUACAGAAAUAAAUCCAGUGCCAGUGUUUUAGCCUGACAAGAAAUAAACCUUUGACUGCUCAGGACAUGGCUCUGAAGCAUCCAGUGCAGGGAGAAAACAUGGAACAUUUGAAGGCCCACUGACUGCAUAUGAGAAGAUAGCAGAGAAAAGCAGCAACCAUCAUGUGCCUUAAGAAAAUGCUAGCAUUAAACACAGCCACGUUUUCCUCUAGAAGAUGCAGAAGUCCCAAGAAAGACAGUAUGCAACUUGCAUGCAGCUGUGACAGAUUGCUGUAUAAGUGAUCUGCGCAAGACUAAGAACUUUCCUUCACAAGUUUAACAACAUUUUAAGAAGCACCUUUAUACCUGGAAAGGAAAAAGAAGAAGGUGGGCUGAAGCUGCCUUAUAAGGUUUUCAGGGAGCUCUUACCCAUAGAAAUAAUGAAUGUAUUUUCAAAUCUGUGUGCAGAUGUUUCACAAGGAGCUACAGCUUUCUGUAGUGGAGUACAGCAGUGCCUCACUCAGGUGCCCAGUAUUAACCUGCUGCCAUGAAGGAGGUCUGGGUUAGAGUGCUAUAUUCUCUUUGAAAAGGAAGAAAAGGCACUGCUAUCAUCUUCCCAGCUUUGGAAGGGCAAAUUCCAAAUUUUUAAUCAAAACCAUAAAAAACAACUUUCACCAUCACCAUAUUUUGAUUAGGAGCAUAACUGCAAAAACAAGUUUAAGCAACCAAGAGAAAAUGUUUACAAAAUGCUGUGUCAGUUCUUACCUAUUUAAAAAUUAACUCUAUCCAGGCUGAAUCCAGGACCUAAAGAAAAGUAGGAUUGGAAAUGAAGCCCUUUUUAUUUCUAAUCAUGUUCUUCAAAAGUCCUGCCUGCUUCCAGGCCAUGCUUGAGAGAAUCAUGUGUUACCUAAAUCUGAGUUAAUGGAACAAGCAGCAGUCAGACCAGCCCAGCUUAGAUUGAAUGGCAGUGCUGAGGAAGCUGAAGGUGCCUACAAAUUUGUUAUCCCUAAUAUCAAAGAUCAAAAGAGUAAAGUUCUGCUCUGCAGCACAGCACGUAAAUUACUUUAUAAGGGAAUUCUCACACAUCCUGAUGGGUCUAUGAGAACUGGCAGACACUAAUAGGCAGUAAAAUAAUUUCUCUAGAAGUUCACUUCUGCAGUUUGUUUGCAUACCUCUCUGGGAUAGAAGUGAAAUUUGCUAGUGUUUCCCCCUGAAUCCUCCUCCCAUGCCUUGAAAACAAUGAAAUUCUAUUUGAAUUAGGACAACAGGAGAGGCAAUUUAAAGGGGCCCUAAAGAUUCAGUCUCUUAAUCACAACUGUGACAAAAUGCUGUUAUCCUUGCCAGCAAUUCCCUGGCAAUUUACAGUACUCUAGUGUAAAAGGAGACCUUGCAUUGCAAAGAAACCUGACUAGAUAACCAGGUCUUCAUCCAUCGAUUCCCCUUUCCUGCCCCCAUUGCACACAUCCUGGGGAUCACCAGGCACUCUGCCAUCCUGAGGCCAUUCAGGAGCUACAUUCUGACCCUGACAUUGAAUCUAAAGUUAUUUAGAAAGUGAAGUCAGUGCAGAGGUUGGCUUCUGAAUAACCCAUCUAAUGAGGAGGGCAUUUCAGUAGGACUGUGUGAAUGCACACCAGCAGCCCCAUUAGGCUGCAAUAGCACCUCAAGAGUUUUUAACAUAGGGGCAACCUAAAACCACUCUGCCUGAACUGUGGUUUCUGCUGCUCCCCAGAAGGAAUUCUCUUCCUGCAUUUAGGUCAGAAAUUAAAUUGUUGGGCAGGUUUCCCCUGCAAGGUCCUGCAACCCUAGGUUGCCACAGGUCUAGCAGUUGUUUUAGGGUAUAAGAAAAGAAAUACAUAAUUAAGAAUUUUGGAAAGAUAUGAGGGCUUUGAAGAUAAUAUCCCAAAGCAAAGAAGACCUCAAGAAGGAGUUAGAAUUUUUUCUUUUAUGUCACUGAUGGGCUGAUUUCCUGCUGAACAAUUGCUCAAAUGUAAAAAGAAAAAAAUUGUUGGGCUGAUAAUGGUAAGUUAAAUAGAGUCAAAUAAAGGCAUAUUUUUAUUAUUUGCAUAUAACUGAAGCUAAGUUAAAAUAUAAGGAAAAGCAGGUUGUGUAAAGACCAGGAAAAUACCCCAAGGAUCAAUAUGAGCUUCAAAAGAUUGUGAUGUUUUCAACAACUUGUUAAUUGCUGGUAUAUGAAUAAGUGCCAAACCCAAAUCACUGUUUCAAAUUAUGUUCCAAAGCAAAACACAUUGAAAUUUCCAACCUCUGUCAAGCAACACAAAUAAAAGGCUCCACAUA